rnacentral:rRNA from 1 species
AUUAAACUGAAGAGUUUGAUCCUGGCUCAGAUUGAACGCUGGCGGCAUGCCUUACACAUGCAAGUCGAACGGCAGCACGGGUGCUUGCACCUGGUGGCGAGUGGCGAACGGGUGAGUAAUACAUCGGAACGUACCUUAUCGUGGGGGAUAACGCAGCGAAAGUUGCGCUAAUACCGCAUACGCCCUGAGGGGGAAAGCGGGGGACCGUAAGGCCUCGCGCGAUUAGAGCGGCCGAUGUCUGAUUAGCUUGUUGGUGAGGUAAAAGCUCACCAAGGCGAUGAUCAGUAGCUGGUCUGAGAGGACGAUCAGCCACACUGGGACUGAGACACGGCCCAGACUCCUACGGGAGGCAGCAGUGGGGAAUUUUGGACAAUGGG